CUAUUGUCCACUUCUAAUAAACGUGAUUGAUUCUGCGAGAUGUGAUUCUAUUGUAAUAGGCUCUAUCUAUUCUAUUAUGGCCGGCUUGGAGACAUCAGAGGAAGACCAUCAUCUCUAUCCGGGUACGAUUUUCCAAACCCUGGGAUUUUUCUCUCUUUACCGGUUAUUACUCUUCCUCAUCGACAUAUCUGUUCCCCGAUCCUCCCGUGCUCUAGCAAUUGCGUGAUACUAAACCGGAUCGAGCUCUUCGCACCUGGAUAGUACUCCUUUCACCGUGCUUUCGAUUGUCUCACUUCAGCGCCAUGCGCUUUGCUUCGCUUUAUAGAAGAGAAAGACCGUUGUCUUGAGAGUGAAAAGCAAGCGCAAGCGAUAGAAAGGAUAGUCCCUCGCGCGUUCGCGCGAACUACUAGAAAAUGGUGAGAUCAUUAGUGAAAGAAGGACCAACGACGAUCCUAUCCUAAAGGAGAAGGAGGAGUAGGAGGAGUCAGUCUUCUUUGAAGAUCGAGGAACGUAGUGUCGGACAAUUAUGCCAUUUGGAAGAAGUCUUCUACAGAGGGAAAGCCUGUAUCGAGUAAGUGGAGAGGAAAGAUCUCCAGAGAUUCUUAUCUUAUUCCAUUCCAGUGGCUUGACCAGUAACCAAUGGCGAAAACUAAAAAAUCUAUGGUUUCCCGGUAGAACCCUAUUUCGCCCAAGUUGUUUCGGAACCGGAAAAAAGAAGCGGUUUUUCGCACAGCUUGCUCAUAGUGCAGGUCCCACUUGUAUAUUGUAUUUGGCCGAAGAAGCAUCGGACAGGUUGGAGUUCUUACCUUCUUGGGACUCCAUGGACCAAGAUCUGCUUUUAUUAUAUGGGCAAUAUCGAUCUACUUUAGUAGAUCAUAUGGAUGUAGAAAAAGCUUCUGA
rnacentral:misc_RNA from 1 species